rnacentral:rRNA from 1 species
GAGUUAUCUGAACCUUCGGGGAACGAUAACGGCGUCGAGCGGCGGACGGGUGAGUAAUGCCUGGGAAAUUGCCCUGAUGUGGGGGAUAACCAUUGGAAACGAUGGCUAAUACCGCAUAAUAGCUUCGGCUCAAAGAGGGGGACCUUCGGGCCUCUCGCGUCAGGAUAUGCCCAGGUGGGAUUAGCUAGUUGGUGAGGUAAGGGCUCACCAAGGCGACGAUCCCUAGCUGGUCUGAGAGGAUGAUCAGCCACACUGGAACUGAGACACGGUCCAGACUCCUACGGGAGGCAGCAGUGGGGAAUAUUGCACAAUGGGCGCAAGCCUGAUGCAGCCAUGCCGCGUGUAUGAAGAAGGCCUUCGGGUUGUAAAGUACUUUCAGCAGUGAGGAAGGUGGUGUGCUUAAUACGCACAUCAUUUGACGUUAGCUGCAGAAGAAGCACCGGCUAACUCCGUGCCAGCAGCCGCGGUAAUACGGAGGGUGCGAGCGUUAAUCGGAAUUACUGGGCGUAAAGCGCAUGCAGGUGGUUUGUUAAGUCAGAUGUGAAAGCCCGGGGCUCAACCUCGGAAUUGCAUUUGAAACUGGCAGACUAGAGUACUGUAGAGGGGGGGUAGAAUUUCAGGUGUAGCGGUGAAAUGCGUAGAGAUCUGAAGGAAUACCGGUGGCGAAGGCGGCCCCCUGGACAGAUACUGACACUCAGAUGCGAAAGCGUGGGGAGCAAACAGGAUUAGAUACCCUGGUAGUCCACGCCGUAAACGAUGUCUACUUGGGAGGUUGUGGCCUUGAGCCGUGGCUUUCGGAGCUAACGCGUUAAGUAGACCGCCUGGGGGAGUACGGUCGCAAGAUUAAAACUCAAAUGAAUUGACGGGGGCCCGCACAAGCGGUGGAGCAUGUGGUUUAAUUCGAUGCAACGCGAAGAACCUUACCUACUCUUGACAUCCAUAGAACUUUCCAGAGAUGGAUUGGUGCCUUCGGGAACUAUGAGACAGGUGCUGCAUGGCUGUCGUCAGCUCGUGUUGUGAAAUGUUGGGUUAAGUCCCGCAACGAGCGCAACCCUUAUCCUUGUUUG